rnacentral:rRNA from 1 species
GACGUAGGAUGCGAGCGUUAUUCGGAUUUAUUGGGCGUAAAGCGUGCGUAGGCGGCUGUUUAAGUCUGGUGUUAAAGCUAGGGGCUCAACCCCUGUGGUGCAUCGGAUACUGGGCAGCUUGAGUGCGGUAGGGGAAGGUGGAAUUCCGAGUGUAGCGGUGAAAUGCGCAGAUAUCAGGAAGAACACCCGUGGCGAAGGCGGCUCUCUGGGACGGUACUGACGCUGAGACGCGAAAGCGUGGGGAGCGAACAGG